ACGCUGGCGGCAGGCCUAACACAUGCAAGUCGAGCGGUAGAGAGAAGCUUGCUUCUCUUGAGAGCGGCGGACGGGUGAGUAAUGCCUAGGAAUCUGCCUGGUAGUGGGGGAUAACGUUCGGAAACGGACGCUAAUACCGCAUACGUCCUACGGGAGAAAGCAGGGGACCUUCGGGCCUUGCGCUAUCAGAUGAGCCUAGGUCGGAUUAGCUAGUUGGUGAGGUAAUGGCUCACCAAGGCGACGAUCCGUAACUGGUCUGAGAGGAUGAUCAGUCACACUGGAACUGAGACACGGUCCAGACUCCUACGGGAGGCAGCAGUGGGGAAUAUUGGACAAUGGGCGAAAGCCUGAUCCAGCCAUGCCGCGUGUGUGAAGAAGGUCUUCGGAUUGUAAAGCACUUUAAGUUGGGAGGAAGGGCAGUUACCUAAUACGUGAUUGUUUUGACGUUACCGACAGAAUAAGCACCGGCUAACUCUGUGCCAGCAGCCGCGGUAAUACAGAGGGUGCAAGCGUUAAUCGGAAUUACUGGGCGUAAAGCGCGCGUAGGUGGUUUGUUAAGUUGGAUGUGAAAUCCCCGGGCUCAACCUGGGAACUGCAUUCAAAACUGACUGACUAGAGUGUGGUAGAGGGUGGUGGAAUUUCCUGUGUAGCGGUGAAAUGCGUAGAUAUAGGAAGGAACACCAGUGGCGAAGGCGACCACCUGGACCAACACUGACACUGAGGUGCGAAAGCGUGGGGAGCAAAC
rnacentral:rRNA from 1 species